rnacentral:lncRNA from 1 species
ACCAGGUGACAUGUGAGACAUAUGUCUAAUUAAAACAAAACAUAUCUUUUAAACUCAGCACACAAUUCUCUUCGCAGGUUCUAAAUAUAGCUGGGCAAGGCUUCGGAUUUUAGUGGGAGAUGGCCAGAGGCGAAGCAACUGAUAAAAGUAGCUGAAUAGGAAUGAGCUUGAAGAUUUCCUUUUUGAAGGAAUACGGGAGAUACUCCUGAGGUCACGUAUUUGAUUAAUGUUGAGAUGUUUGCUCAGCCUCCCUUAUCAAGGGGAGGGCACCUGCGUGGGGUGUGGAGCAUACUUUGCAGAUGCCAAGUGCCCAGCAGCACCCAACGGUGUCUCUCAAUACGUGAUCCAGAGACAGAGGCUCAUUCCCCCACCAUGGCACCCCGACCCUGGGAGUCUGGGCCUGCCUGGGUGUGGGUGAUAGGCAGCCAGCCACACAGAGGGACAGGCAAAGUGUUGCCAGAGCAAUUUGAAUGCAUCCCCACUCCACCACCCUUGUAAUAUGGAAUGAUCUCCCCAUCUUUCCUUCCUGAGCUGGGAGGUGGGUUCGAGUGAGCACAGCCGGAUACCAUGGUAGGGCAUACUCAGAGAAGGCCGGUGGGGAGAGGCUGGAUUUUUCAUUUCUUUCUUGUCUUUCUUGUCCUAG